rnacentral:misc_RNA from 1 species
ACAAAUCAAAUUGUGGUGUGGAUGUGAUUGAUUUAUUCUUUGAUGAUGUAAGGUGUUGAGUUCAGCACUCUAUAUCCACAGAGUAUAACGUCAAUCUCACAUACACCUAACAUUUGUGCUCCAGGCAUUUCGUCUGGGUGCAAUUAUAUAUCAUAUAUAUAUUCAUUAUUGUCAGUUGUUUGUCUAUUUUUUAAAUUUAUAAUC